GAGUACUGCCAUGUCAAAACCACACCUGACAUGCCCAUCAGAAAAGCUCUUAGAAUGACUAUCGGAAUACCUGGUAUUUUUAGUGCUAUAUUCCAUGGCGAUCACGGCCAGACGGACACCUACGUGGAUGGAGGUGUGCUGUGCAAUUACCCAAUUCACGCUUUUGAUGGAUGGUACCUUUCCAUGUCUCCUGAAGAUGCCUUUCU
rnacentral:sRNA from 1 species